rnacentral:rRNA from 1 species
GACGAACGCUGGCGGCGUGCCUAAUACAUGCAAGUUGAGCGCUGAAGGUUGGUACUUGUACCAACUGGAUGAGCAGCGAACGGGUGAGUAACGCGUGGGGAAUCUGCCUUUGAGCGGGGGACAACGUUUGGAAACGAAUGCUAAUACCGCAUAAAAACUUUAAACACAAGUUUUAAGUUUGAAAGAUGCAAUUGCAUCACUCAAAGAUGAUCCCGCGUUGUAUUAGCUAGUUGGUGAGGUAAAGGCUCACCAAGGCGAUGAUACAUAGCCGCCCUGAGAGGGUGAUCGGCCACAUUGGGACUGAGACACGGCCCAAACGCCUACGGGAGGCAGCAGUAGGGAAUCUUCGGCAAUGGACGAAAGUCUGACCGAGCAACGCCGCGGGAGUGAAGAAGGUUUUCGGAUCGUAAAACUCGGUUGGUAGAGAAGAACGUUGGUGAGAGUGGAAAGCUCAUCAAGUGACGGUAACUACCCAGAAAGGGACGGCUAACUACGUG